rnacentral:lncRNA from 1 species
AGACUCUGGCAUACAAAGACAGAACUUGAGUGUUGAUGAUGAUUUUCCAGUUCGAGAUGUUGGACCCUUCGUUAAGUUGUCUCAGUCUCAACCCAGCACCCCACAGUCACCCUGCACAAACCAGGGAUUUGAUGGACAAUCCCCAUCCUCAAACCAACCAGCUGUAUCAAAAUCUUCCCACCAAACUACCAUCCAGAAUCAUACAACUGUUAAUGUUAUCACUAACUUGGGAUCACCUGGAUCCAAGCAGUCUCCACCAUCUAAUACAGGUAGUCCUGUAAAGCUAGAAAGAUCUGCACUGCGGCAGACACUACCUCACCCCUAUUCCUCUGGCAGCAAGGAUCCCGGUUCUGUGUUAAGAAGUUCUGCUGACAUUGCAAAGGUUCGAAACAGGAACUAUGAAUUAUCUAAGCUACAUCGUUCUAAACCUGGUAAAGACUCUGAGAAGGCUGUUCCAGACACAGCUUCGGGAAAUAAAGAAUGUAAUCCUGAUAGUUCCAUCUGGUUUGAGUAUGGUUGUGUGUAGCUCGAUAUAUAUAUUUGUUGGAAAAGGGAAAAUUAUGUAUGUUAUCGUUCAUAGUCUGUUAGAUGUGAUAAUGUAGCUUACGUAAGUAUUAAAACUGAAAACAAGUUUUGUUAUGCUAGUUGAUAGGAAGUAUUGUUUUGUAAACCUACAACUCUUAACGAGAUUUGCUUGUGGUUAAAUAUGCAUGCUUGAAGAUUGCUUGAUUGUGAAAAUUAAAAAAACAAAAAGCUAAAAGUUACUUUUAUUCGUUACAACAUGCAAGUAAUUUUGUUGUCAUUCUUUACAGUAUUAUGUGAAAAUAAUGGAUUGAUUAGAAUGUGUUUUCCAUGUUGAGUUAAAACAUUUAAUGUGGCUUUUUAAAACCAUUGUGCAUUAUAUAUAUAUAUACAUAUAUAUAUACAGCUUUGUUUUAGUAAGUGUUAUAGCUUUCAAAAGACUGUGUUGGUAAAGAAAAUAAUACUGAUUUUGUUGAUAAGCUCUGUUACACUUGGAUAUAUUUUUUUAAAUUCAAUUUCCAAAACCUGAAAACCAGAAAUGCUUAGGUAACUUUUCUAAUAUAUAUAAGAAACAUAUUUAGAAAUUGGUUAGAUUCUCGAUUGUUUAUUUCUAUAAUGGCCUAAGACUUGAUCAUUCUGACAUAAGAAAUUAUACUUUCUAGCAGGUACCAUAAUGUAUGUAAACAUUUUGAUAAGUUUGAUAAACAUUGGUUUUUCAUCUAUGAUUUACAAAGUUCAGAGGUUUCUCUUUCUAAGGAGCUUAGAUUUUCUCAACUGUAACUGUUGCAUUUUAAGCUGAAUUUUCGAUAUUUACUAACCUGUCUCCAGAAUGACUGAAGAGGUACGAGUUGAAUGUGAGGGUCAAAAUCCGGUUGAGUUAUUUAAAUAAUUACAUGCAUGGUCUUUAGAUACUGAAGUUCACCAAAUGUUCUAUAAUAUAUUUCAAUCUUAGUGGUAGAAAUAACAUACUCAUGAAGAGAAUUAUGACACUUGUGAUGAACACCGUUCUUUAAAAAGGGAUGCAGAUACACGUUCUGAAAUUCUACAGAUUCCACCUGUAGUACCUUAGGCACAAUAUAAAAAACUUACUUCAAUCCUUGGACAUUGCUAAAAUUAAAAAGUACAUUGCUACAUUUGACCUUAACUGAACAAAAGGGAAGAAGAGUCUGGUAUAAGAAGAAAUUCUGAGUUUGGUGAAUGUGAAAAGAUAUGUUGUUACCGACCAUCAAGAAGAGAAAAGUAGCAUAUGAUAAGACGAGACAACAUUCAACGAGUCCUACUAGAGGGUCAAUUAGAAGGGAAAAGAUACAGGGAAAGACGAAGAACCGAUUGGAUAACAAAUAUUAAAGAAUUGACUGAGAUAGUAAAAUAUGAAGAUCUGGUGAGAAAAGCAUAGAACAGACAGAAGUAGAUGUUUGUGACAGCCAACCUUCCUGAGGAAGAUGGCACAUGAUGAUGAUGAUGAAGAACAAAAGCCAAAAUUCAUGGAAAGUGAGUAAGAUGAGAAACUAGAAUAAUAAAACUACAGAAAUUAGAUGUCACAUCAUUAAUAUUAUACACAUUAAAAAAAUGUGCAACUUAAGUGAAGACUGCACAUUAUUCAGGGUUGGAGAAUGCUGUUUGAUGUGAGGGUUUCUUUAAUCAAUAAUUCUAGAUCAGCAAUGGCCUUGCAGAGGAUAGUGAAAUUAGCUGUAUUGAGUUGGUGUCCUGAUUCUUCACUAUAUACAGAAAGUUGAUUUCAGAUUAGUUUUCAAAUCCACAUCACACGUACAAAGUUUCUUCCUUACUAAAGACGACCUCCCAAUUCCUCGUAGUUCUUGGUUCGUAUGUUUUUAUGUGUGUGUGCAGACUGUAAGGGCUCCUAUAAUGGCAAAUCCAAAUGCCCUCUAAAAGUUAAAGCCAGUGAAUGUUUGAUAAUUUCUAUUAAAAUGCAAAAACGUCUAGUAACCCCUGUGCCUCCUCUGUAUGCCAACAUCAUGAAAAAGCAGGACACCAACUCAAUACAGCUAAUUUCACUAUCCUCUGCAAGGCCAGUGCUGAUCUAGAAUUAUUGAUUAAAGAAACCCUCACAUCAAACAGCAUUCUCCAACCCUGAAUAAUGUGCAGUCUUCACUUAAGUUGCACAUUUUUUAAUGUGUAUAAUAUUAGUGAUGUGACAUCUAAUUUCUGUAGUUUUAUUAUUCUAGUUUCUCAUCUUGCUCACUUUCUGUGAAUUUAAUUAUCAUUAAAUGUAGCAAUGUAAUUUUAGUGACAUCCAAGGAUUAAAGUAAACUUUAUAUUUUACUUUAGGGACUGAAGAUGGAAUCUUUAGGGUUCCUAAACAUUAUCUACAUCCCUUUUUGAAUAAAUAAACAAUAAAUAUGUUCCUUAUAUCAUGAUCCUUUUUAUUACCACUUUUAGUUUUCCUCUGAACACAUCGAUUGCUAACAUAUUCAUGUUUGUGAAGUUUGUUGUUCUCGUAGUUCAAAUAGACAAAAUCUGGUGAAACAUAAAUCAGUUUUGUACUGAUUAAAUUUAUAUUUUUUAAUGUUUUUUUAUUAUUAUUAUUUCAAAAUAAUAACUUUUUAUAUUGAAUCUUACAACUUUAACUGUUUAGCUACUGCCUUGGCUCUUGUUAUAAUUUCAUUAAACAGUACGUGUUGUGUGCCAACUGAAAAAUGUUUCACAAGGUUUAGUAUGAAACCUUGUAUGUCACUUCGCAAACUAUAAAGCUCAUUCUCAUAUUUCAGUUGACAAAAAACUUUUGUAUGUCAGUUAAUAUAUGUAGUAGGUAACUCGUAAAGCCAUGUAAAGUCCUCAUGUAGUAGGUGACUCAUGCUUGGAUAAAGGCCAUGUAAAGUCCUCGUGUAGUAGGUGACUCGUGCUUUGAUAAAGGCCAUGUAAAGUCCUCAUGUAGUAGGUGACUCGUGCUUGAAUAAAGGCCAUGUAAAGUCCUCGUGUAGUAGUUGACACAUGUUUGAAUGGGGGCCAUGUAAAGUCUUUAUGUGGUAGUUGACACAUGUUUGAAUGGGGGCCAUGUAAAGUCUUUAUGUGGUAGUUGACACAUGUUUGAAUGGAGGCCACGUAAAGUCUUUGUGGUAGUUGACACAUGUUUGAAUGGGGGCCAUGUAAAGUCUUUAUGUGGUAGUUGACACAUGUUUGAAUGGAGGCCACGUAAAGUCUUUGUGUGGUAGUUGACACAUAUUUAAAUGGGGGGGCAUGUAAAGUCUUUAUGUGGUAGUUGACACAUGUUUGAAUGGAGGCCACGUAAAGUCUUUAUGUGGUAGUUGACACAUGUUUGAAUGGAGGCCACGUAAGGUCCUUGCUAAGAAGUGUGAAGUCAGGUCAUGUUAGGAGCUUUAGUUUCAAUGAUUCUUGUGUUAAUUUUUCCUAUACAUUUUCAUACGUGUGUGUGUGUGUUGCUUAAAUUAAGGAAUUGGUGUUCAGGGUUAUAUUACACAACCAACACAUUUUACCACUUCUAAGUGUUGAUCAUGUAUAUAUAUAAUUUAAUUAUACCUGUCGUAGAAUAAUGUGUGGUUAUUCAAGUUCCCAAUUGUAUACUUGCUAAAAUAAUACACUUUAUGAUGUUUGUUGUUUUUCUUGUACUUAGCAGAAAAAGAAUCUAUUUAAUAGAAACCAUUUUAAGUAGUUAAUAUAAUGUUUGAUAUGAACUAUAAUUAUUCCAGAAAUAGAAUUGUUGUUUUUCUUAAACUUACCUAGUCUGCUGUUCCUGUUCUAAAUAUGUAUUUCUUUUGUUUCUUAUACUUGAGCUGUCGUACAAUUGAGGUUGCAUCUUUCCUACCAAAGAGUUUUUAAUUUUAUGAAACUAAGUAAGUUAUUAUAUUUCCACACUGUUUUUGCAUGUUUGAGAUUUAUUUCAACAGCAGUGACACUGCAGCCUUAAGAAAGUUCUUAUAUAGGAGGGGCACAGAUGAACGUUUUAUUACAUCAUAGAUAAUGAAUUAAAAGAAAAAUUGGAAAGUAAAAUAGUAUUUUGGGGCUUUUAAGGCCAUGUGGUAGUUAUAGUUAGACUAGUAUGUCCUGAUCUUGUGAAAAAGUGAAAUGAAGAAUAUUGUGGAAAGGUGCUCCACAUUUUAGAUACAGGUAGAAGAAAGUGCUGCCAUCUUUUUGGGAAUUAGCAUAACGUUUAUUUAUCAGUAUUCACUUAUUGCAUAUUACACUUUUGAAAUAUGAUUUAUUACUAAAUUUUCAAAGAAGUAUACAUUUAUUGUCCUGGUUCUGUGAUGACUGAACAAAUGAAAAAAAAUGGUAACUAAAUAAUUUGUUUAAAAGUGAAAAAAAUAAGUUUUUAGAAGCUAAAAAAAGUCCAAAAUUCCUUCUUGAUUUAUUGACAUAAGAACUUUGUAUAAAUAUGUAUAUUAAUCAUGAAACCUUCUGCCUUGUGAAAAUAAGUUACAGAUUUUGUCUGUGAUUUGUCAAUGACAUUCCAUAUUCAGAAAUCUUAGAUGUGAUCUGAAGCAUUCCAGUUUUCUCUAGAACAUUUUCUAUGGAUUUAGUCCAUAGUUGUUACUUAAAGACAAAUUUUGUAGUAACGGCAUUGUUUUAUAACCCAGAGUUCUUGUGUGGGGUAUUUUCUGUGCAUUAUAUAAUAUAUUUUACUGUUCUGUGUUUAUAAUUAUACCAUUUUUAAAACAUUCCACAGCUAAUACUGUACUAAAACAUUCCACGGCUAAUACUGUACCAAAACAUUCCACAGCUAAUACUGUACCAAAACAUUCCCAUGUUGUAUCUUUGUUGAUUUAUGAAGUCUGGAAAUACAAACUGAUUCAAAGACUUUUUAUAAAACGUAUGGGGUAAUCUUGAAAUAUCAUUGUUUGAUGUUUAUAUAAAAAAAAUGCUUUUCUUCAGAAACAGUCUUGAUGAAUUUGUAUUUCUAGAUUUAGUAAUUUUGAGUUAGUUUUCAUAUUAAUGAACUUUUAAGUUAACAGAAUAGAUGUUAACAUGCUCCAUCAUUCUAGAUGGACUGACACUUAAAAUAAGCUCUGUGUAUUAUUUAACAUUAUUUUGUCUUUUUUUAACUGAUACUUGUGUGUGAGCUUGUCUCUCAAGAGAUAAAAACUUCACUAAAUGUUACCAUUAAGUAGUUUUAAUUCAUAAUAUUAAAUGUUCUUUUAAACACAGAUAACGUUGAGUAAAUAAAACCGAUGAUUGUUGAGAUAUCUCCAACAUGUUGUUAUGGUUACUUUAACAAGAUACGUUUGUGUAUAUAUAUACUUUACAUAUUUAAAAACAAAGUUGAACUUUGUUUGUGCUUGGUGAAAAUUCAUUAGGGCUAGAAUGCUGAUUUUAGCCUCCCAUUUUUAACUCUGCAAGAGAGUUUGAAUUUUUAUAUUGUAGGUGAAGACUGUUAGUGUUAGUAAGAACGAAGUAGACAUGAGUUUGGUAUUGUUCUUUAGUUGAAAUAGAUUUCAUCUUAUAUGUCGUCAAGUUUCUUUACAAAUUUACCAUUUGAUUAAUUAUGAUGUUUUUUUAUCUUGUAAUUUAGAGUGUGCCCAGGUUUGUGACCUUUUAAAUAAAAUAUUAAAAGUUAGUUGUUAAACAAAAUACUACUACAAUAGUUGUUAUAUAGUUUUAUCAAAUAACUUGUAGUAUAAAUAUAGUUGUUUCUUUUCAAAAGCAAUAACAUUAUGUAAGCUGUUCACGGAAAUCUCAUGGUAUGUUUGUACUGUAGAAACAGAGGGUGGAAAUUUAACCCUAUAAUUACCAGCAAUUGUUCUAGAUAAAUAUGUUGAGGAAUUGGUCAAAUGUUUGUUGUAAUUUAUCAAAAUACCAACUGAUGGAUUAGCCUGUUUUUCUCCUUUAGAAUAUUUGGUGACAGUAAUGCAUCUUUUAAAACCAGUUAUAAUUUAAAAAUUUUAACUCUGUACUUGAGUAGAAGGUAUUUUUAAUAAACUAACCAAAAUGUAUGUUGACAAUAAUUGAUUAAUCUUAUGUUUCCAAGGUUGAUAGAGCAAGGUACUGGUUAUUUUUAGUUAUAAAAAAAAUUCCAAUGUUUGAAAAUUUUCAUAAUAAUUGUAAUCUGUUAUCACAGAGAAACCAAGUUGCAAAUGUUAAAGAUAUAUUACUAAAUGUAGAAUUACUUUGUAUUAUGUUUAUAAUGGCUUUUGUAAUUGGAUUGUCCUUUCAAACAACUUUUAAUAAGUAAGCUGUAGUCAAGAGCUUUACAACGUUGCUGAAAACACUGUGUAUUAUGAAUAUUAAUGGGUUGAAGGAUCUGUAACAACGUUUGUGUGAAAUACUACUAGUAAAUAACAGUGUGGAUGUUGUGGGAACAACUAGGCAUGUUUUUGUUAUGUCUGUAAUUUAGCUUACCAGAUUUCAUUGACUAACUAAGGGUUGUCUGCUUUUGGUUUCUUUACACUUUAACUUUUUAAUGUAAGCAUAACUAAAUAUAUACUUACACAAAUAAAAAUAAAAGAACAAAAUUCAGGUCCUUAUGUUGAUUGUUACUGUGUAAUAUGUUGUGUGAGAUGCUCUGUAAUAUUAAACAUGUUGAAUUAUGAAGUCUUGUGAAAAUAUUCACUUCAUAGUUUUCAAUCAUUAGUUGAAAACGUGUGUUUUUAUAAACCAAGUGAUGGGGAAAACAAUUAACAAAUAAUAUUAUUGGGUUACAGAUUUUAAAAAAGUAACAACUAGAAAACAAUGUGGUCCCCUGUGGUCAUCUUAGAUAGUUAUUGAAAUAUGUUGAAACCCUUAAUGAAAAAUAGCAUCUAUUGUAACUAGUUUUACACUGGUAGGACUGUUUAAAAAUCUUUGCACAAGGGGUGAUGGACUAUAGAUAGGGAGCAUUUUCAGUUUUUUCAUGUUUCCAUUUUGCCUGGAAAAGUGUAAAUGUUUUCAUCUUAAUUUUUAAUAUCUUUUUCUAUGUUAAUAUACAUCAACUACAUUUCUGGUCAGUUAUUUAAGAUAAACUUUGUGUAAUUUGAAGUGUUAUUCUGAUGUGAAAAAAAAGAGCAAAUAAAAACAUAUUGAAAAACA